ACUAAUUAAAUUCCCUAAUGACUGCUCUUUGUAUUAAGUCAUAUGCUUGUAAAAGAAGCACUGAAUGUCAUGUCUUUUUUUUCCACCUGCUUUGUCAUUAUUCUUUAUAUACUUUUCUUAAUCUUUAUUACAUUCCAUUACUAUCUCUACUCUGUGUCAAUUAUUACUAUCAUGGCUUGUGCUCUCACUUCAUAUUAGGCUCCAUAAUUCCAGCAGGAAACUAUGGACACUUGACAUUCAUACACUGCAAGAAACUAGCUUUUAACUAAACAAACUUUUUGUUCAUAUUAAGUAUGAACCCAAAACAUGUUAUACUUUCUUAUUCCGAAAAUGUACAUCAAUGCAGUAUUUUCUUUAAAUGUUUAAUAGAUGUUUCUAAUAGGAUGUACCCAGCGGUGAAAUCCAGCCGGAUCGUUCCAGCUCAUGCGAACCUGUAGGGCUCCGCCCACCCACUCGGAUAUCAUUACAUUCUGUUUUUUACCCUCUGUGCAUGCGCAGAAGAGGCACAUGCUCACAGUUCUGAAUCGGUAGCGAAGGAGAGGGCUUCAGCAGGAAGAUGGCCAGAAUCUCAGUAUAUUUUCUCAUAAAGGUAUUCUUUUAUGCUUUUAUGAAGAUGUGUUUUAAUGAUGGUGUCAUACUCUGGGAUCUACUGAAACAGAAGUAUGGAGUAUGAAUGCAGAUUUGGUCUGUGACAUCUGAAGUCCAGUGAAUGGAGGUCAAGAGAAUCGAAAUGUUAUUAUAUUACUAAAUUAGUUGGCUGACAACAAAGUAUGCUAUUUUUGAGUCUGAGCUACCCUUCAUGUAGGAAUAGAGCAGAGAGUAGC